GCCCAACAGCUAGCCCCCCCGACCAAAAACAAUCUAUCACCAUUAAUAACCCCUAACACACUAGUGUUAAACUAAACAAAACAUUUUUCCACCUCAGUACGGGCGACGGAAGAGGAACAGACGGCGCUAUAGAGAGAGUACCGCAAGGGAACGCUGAAAGAGAAGUGAAAUAACCCAGUAAAGCCCUAAAAAGCAGAGAUUUUAACUCGUACCUUUUGCAUCAUGAUUUAGCUAGUAAUAUCCAGGCAAAGAGAACUUUAGUCUGGCCCCCCGAAACUAAGUGAGCUACUCCAAGGCAGCCUAUUAAUAGGGCACACCCGUCUCUGUGGCAAAAGAGUGGGAAGAACUUUGAGUAGAGGUGACAGACCUACCGAACUUAGUUAUAGCUGGUUGUUUGAGAAAUGAAUAGGAGUUCAGCCUCGCGGCUUCUUCACUCACCCCUGUCCUACUCCCUACAGACCUUCUGAGAAACCGCGAGAUUAGUCAAAGGGGGUACAGCCCCUUUGAAAAAGAUACAACUUUCCCAGGUGGGUAAAGAUCAUAAUAACCUAAAGUAAAAUGCUUUGGUGGGCCUAAAAGCAGCCAUCCCCUUAGAAAGCGUUAAAGCUCAGGCAUAUCAUUUACCUCAUUAUUCUGAUAAUUUAUCUCAGCCCCCUAAUUUUACCAGACCGCCCCAUGCAACCAUGGGAGAGACCAUGCUAAUAUGAGUAACAAGAGGGCCAGACCCUCUCCCUGCACACGUGUAAUUCGGAACGGACUAACCACCGAACCCUAACGGCCCCAAACAAAGAGGGUAAUGAAUGACAGACCAAACAACAAGAAAAGUCUUCAGCUUCUAACCGUUAACCCCACACUGGUGUGCCCAUAGGGAAAGACUGAAUGAAAAAGAAGGAACUCGGCAAACACAUGAAGCCUCGCCUGUUUACCAAAAACAUCGCCUCUUGCAAAUAAAGAAUAAGAGGUCCCGCCUGCCCUGUGACUAUAAGUUUAACGGCCGCGGUAUUUUGACCGUGCGAAGGUAGCGCAAUCACUUGUCUUUUAAAUGAAGACCUGUAUGAAUGGCAUAACGAGGGCUUAGCUGUCUCCUUUUUCAAGUCAAUGAAAUUGAUCUCCCCGUGCAGAAGCGGGGAUAAAACCAUAAGACGAGAAGACCCUGUGGAGCUUUAGACACCAGGGUAAAUCAUGUUAAACAUCCCUAAACAAAGGGCUAAACCAAAUGAAAAUUACUCCCAUGUCUUUGGUUGGGGCGACCGCGGGGAAACACAAAACCCCCACGUGGAAUGGGACUACUCCCUCCUACAACUCAGAGCUUCCGCUCUAAUUAACAGAAUUUCUGACCAACAAGAUCCGGCAACGCCGAUCGACGAACCGAGUUACCCCAGGGAUAACAGCGCAAUCCCCUUUUAGAGUCCAUAUCGACAAGGGGGUUUACGACCUCGAUGUUGGAUCAGGACAUCCUAAUGGUGCAGCCGCUAUUAAGGGUUCGUUUGUUCAACGAUUAAAGUCCUACGUGAUCUGAGUUCAGACCGGAGUAAUCCAGGUCAGUUUCUAUCUAUGCUAUGAUUUUUUCUAGUACGAAAGGACCGAAAAAAAGAGGCCCAUGCUUCAAGUAUGCCUCACCCCCACCUAAUGAAAACAACUAAAUAGGCAAAAGGGCGUGCCCCCUUUGCCUGAGAUAAGGCA
rnacentral:rRNA from 1 species